UGGGGUAUCUCAAUUGAUUGUUCACAGUCAGUUACAGAUUGAUCUCCUCGUUCUCUCUUUCCCCCCUUCCCACUA
rnacentral:misc_RNA from 1 species